UACGUAGGGUGCAAGCGUUGUCCGGAAUUACUGGGCGUAAAGGGCUCGUAGGUGGCCAACUAAGUCAGACGUGAAAUCCCUCAGCUUAACUGGGGAACUGCGUCUGAUACUGGAUGGCUUGAGUUUGGGAGAGGGAUGCGGAAUUCCAGGUGUAGCGGUGAAAUGCGUAGAUAUCUGGAGGAACACCGGUGGCGAAGGCGGCAUCCUGGACCAACACUGACACUGAGGAGCGAAAGCCAGGGGAGCAAACGGG
rnacentral:rRNA from 1 species